AGACCCCUGGCAGUCUUCAAGCAGGCACUGGACAAGCACCUAAAGUCGGUUCCUGACCAGCAGGGCUGUGGCUCGUACGUUGGUUUGCGUGCAGCCAGCAGUAACAGCCUGGUUGAUCAGGCUCUGAUCCACCAGGAGGCCUGGUCACAGACCGGGCCGCGGGGGCGUUGACCCCCGGAACUCUUUCCAGGUAAACUCCAGUGACUAACAAAGUAAGGUUGUGGAGGAGUGUGAGGGAAGUCGAGGUUGUGCGACACAACACAACACUCCUGCCGCUAUGGCCGACGCUGCUGAGAAACUCUCAAAAAAGUAUUCCAGAUAACAAUAUUAAAAAUGAGGGCAAGUUUACUGAGAAGUGCCUGGAGAGCAGUGGCCUCUCUAGAGGCAGCUCGAAGGUUGUCUGCCAGGAGUCAGUUUUCCCCAUGCUUGGCAAGCAUCUUCCUGAGCAACACCACAUUGUCUUAUUCUACCAGGAGUGAGCAAAAAAGAAGAUUAAAAGCAGAAAAGAAGCACAGGAAAAAGCAGAAAAGGAAUCUGGUAAAGCUGACCAGGUCACUCCAUCAGCCAG